rnacentral:tRNA from 1 species
AGGCCCAUAGCUUAACUGGUUAAAGUUACGGUCUCCAAAACCGUCGAUUUCCGUUCGAGUCGGAAUGGGCUUG